rnacentral:lncRNA from 1 species
ACGUGCCAUUUGGGAUCCCUUGGAAUCUUCAUGUACAGAACUGGUUGCUGCCUCGUUGAGUCGGUGGGGACAGAAUAGCUCCUGGUUGACAGCAUGGGUUGUGCAGAAGGACGGAUCCUGCAGGCAUCAAUAUCUGGCUUUGAGUGGCACAAAGAAAUAAAGGAAUGUGGAUUCAGACCUCACUGGGAUGCUUGGCAAUUCUAAUUCUACCCCAGACUGCAAAUGGACACACAACUGUUGUGACUUUUGUUGAAGAGGAGAAGGAUGGGACAGAAGCUGGAUUCAGAAGCACACAGGUCUGGGGA